GACUCUUCUUAUCCCAUUUCCUGCCUUGCCAAUCCUAUCUGCUGUGGCCAUCUCACUUGAUUUGAUUUCUUUGUGUAGUUCAAAAUGGAUUUUUCUUUAAAUUAUUACUAUUAUUAUUAAACAGUCACAGUCAUAGUUUGUUUUUUCUGACCCUGGGGAUCAAAUAGAGAGCUUUGGGCAGAUGAGGCCAGCCCUGUACUGAGCUACAACCCAGACCUGAACCCAAGUUUUUCUUUUGACCUUGAGACAGCCUCUUGCUAUAUGACCCAGGCUGCCUUGAACUCAUAGUCUCUGUUGGCUUUUUGAGGGCAGGGAUUUCAGGAGUGCACCUCCAAGGCAAUUUUGUUGUAGCUUUCAGAACUGAUAUUUAAACCCAGCUUAGCGCUCUCCGAUGCGCUACGUCUGAGUCCCAAGCCUGAUUGUCUGCAGGUGAGGAAGGCAGUGAUUUUUGUUGACUCUGUCUCUGGAGCCUGGGUUGGACUGGAAGUCCCUGCGUAGCUCAGGCUACCUCUUAGCUAUGGUCCAGCUCAGCCUCCUGAGUGUUGGGAUCACAGGUGUCAGCCUUUGGGCCCGGCUUUACCAGUGACUUUGAUGAGUCCUUUCAUUUGAAGCCAUGACUUGAGGUUGCCCUGGCACUGUGAGGUGGCUUUGUGAGGUUGCCCCGGCACUGUGAGGUGGCUUUGCUCCCCAACCUCCUUUGGGAAUGCUGAGAACUUCCUCUGCAGACUUCCAUGAUGGCUUCAGGCUUCCUUGGAGUUUGUAUUGGGGUCUUUAUUUCCCCUAUCUCCAGUGAGAUUUCUUUUCUACUUCAGUUCCAUUUCUGGCUUGUUCUCUGGACCUUCACUUGAGGUCUAGGUUCUGACACUUAUGGAGUCUCUACAUUUGGCAGGGCCAUUCUCUUCUUGCCAAAAAGUGUGUUGGGACCACAACUCUUGUUUGGAGACCCUGGUCUUGUGGCAUUCCUUCGCAUCUUGCCAUUUCCUUUAGCUGUGGUACUAGAUGGGCCUCCAUGUGCCCCUUCAUCGUCUACUCUAGGUUAGGCUCUUUCAGUGAGUUUUUUCCUUCUGGGACCCAGGGUCCAUCACCACUGAUUUUCUGUGCCUUGUCACUUUGAAGUAAGGCCAAGGAAACCUUUAGUCUUUUGUGUCAACUUUCAAUUUUUCUUCAACUUAGUUUUCAUAAUAUUUUAUCUUUUUCUUUUUUUCUCAAUGACUUUCUUCAGACUGUGGGAAGAUAUGUAGUCUUUCGUCUCGAGAGCUGACAAGUGAAAAGAGGGAAGGCAACUGU
rnacentral:lncRNA from 1 species